GGGUGAUUGGCUCAGCUGGGAGAGCAUCUGCCUUACAAGCAGAGGGUCGGCGGUUCGAUCCCGUCAUCACCCACCA
rnacentral:tRNA from 1 species